AGAACGAACGCUGGCGGCGUGGAUAAGACAUGCAAGUCGAGCGAGAUUUUCGUUGUAGCAAUACGAUGGAAAGUCUAGCGGCGAACGGGUGCUUAACACGUGGGCAACCUGCCAUGAAGUGGGGGAUAGCUCGCCGAAAGGCGAAUUAAUACCGCAUGUGAUUAGAGAGGACAUCCUUUCGAAAUUAAAGUCGGGGCAACCUGACGCUUCUUGUGGGGCCCGCGGCCUAUCAGCUAGUUGGUGAGGUAACGGCUCACCAAGGCUUUGACGGGUAGC
rnacentral:rRNA from 1 species